rnacentral:rRNA from 1 species
GACGAACGCUGGCGGCGUGCUUAACACAUGCAAGUCGAACGAAGUGGCGAACGGGUGAGUAAUACGUGGGUAACCCGCCCUCCUUUUUGGGAUUAGCUUUUGAAACGGGGUCUAAUACCCAAUAAAGGGGGAUGGGCUCGCGGCCUAUCAGCUUGUUGGUGGGGUGAUUGCCUACCAAGGCGGUGACGGGUGGCCGGGCUGAGAGGGUGACUGGCCACAUUGGGACGGAGAUACGGCCCCGACUCCUACGGGAGGGAGCAGUUGGGGAUAUUGCGCAAUGGGCGAGAGCCCGAUGCAGGGACGCCGAGUGGGGGAUGAGGGCUUUCGGGUUGUAAACCUGUUUCGCAAUCGACCGGGUAGGUGGAGAAGAAGCGCCGGCUAACUACGUGCCAGCAGCCGCGGUAAUUC